CGACAUUACGGGCGGCCCAAGGGGUGCAAGCCAAAGGGGAGGAACAAAGAGCUUGCUCUCGGGUGACGAGCGGCGGACGGGUGAGUAAUGUCUGGGAAACUGCCUGAUGGAGGGGGAUAACUACUGGAAACGGUAGCUAAUACCGCAUAACGUCGCAAGACCAAAGUGGGGGACCUUCGGGCCUCAUGCCAUCAGAUGUGCCCAGAUGGGAUUAGCUAGUAGGUGGGGUAACGGCUCACCUAGGCGACGAUCCCUAGCUGGUCUGAGAGGAUGACCAGCCACACUGGAACUGAGACACGGUCCAGACUCCUACGGGAGGCAGCAGUGGGGAAUAUUGCACAAUGGGCGCAAGCCUGAUGCAGCCAUGCCGCGUGUGUGAAGAAGGCCUUCGGGUUGUAAAGCACUUUCAGCGGGGAGGAAGGCGUUAAGGUUAAUAACCUUGUCGAUUGACGUUACCCGCAGAAGAAGCACCGGCUAACUCCGUGCCAGCAGCCGCGGUAAUACGGAGGGUGCAAGCGUUAAUCGGAAUUACUGGGCGUAAAGCGCACGCAGGCGGUCUGUCAAGUCGGAUGUGAAAUCCCCGGGCUCAACCUGGGAACUGCAUUCGAAACUGGCAGGCUAGAGUCUUGUAGAGGGGGGUAGAAUUCCAGGUGUAGCGGUGAAAUGCGUAGAGAUCUGGAGGAAUACCGGUGGCGAAGGCGGCCCCCUGGACAAAGACUGACGCUCAGGUGCGAAAGCGUGGGGAGCAAACAGGAUUAGAUACCCUGGUAGUCCACGCCGUAAACGAUGUCGAUUUGGAGGUUGUGCCCUUGAGGCGUGGCUUCCGGAGCUAACGCGUUAAAUCGACCGCCUGGGGAGUACGGCCGCAAGGUUAAAACUCAAAUGAAUUGACGGGGGCCCGCACAAGCGGUGGAGCAUGUGGUUUAAUUCGAUGCAACGCGAAGAACCUUACCUGGUCUUGACAUCCACAGAACUUUCCAGAGAUGGAUUGGUGCCUUCGGGAACUGUGAGACAGGUGCUGCAUGGCUGUCGUCAGCUCGUGUUGUGAAAUGUUGGGUUAAGUCCCGCAACGAGCGCAACCCUUAUCCUUUGUUGCCAGCGGUUAGGCCGGGAACUCAAAGGAGACUGCCAGUGAUAAACUGGAGGAAGGUGGGGAUGACGUCAAGUCAUCAUGGCCCUUACGACCAGGGCUACACACGUGCUACAAUGGCAUAUACAAAGAGAAGCGACCUCGCGAGAGCAAGCGGACCUCAUAAAGUAUGUCGUAGUCCGGAUUGGAGUCUGCAACUCGACUCCAUGAAGUCGGAAUCGCUAGUAAUCGUAGAUCAGAAUGCUACGGUGAAUACGUUCCCGGGCCUUGUACACACCGCCCGUCACACCAUGGGAGUGGGUUGCAAAAGAAGUAGGUAGCUUAACCUUCGGGAGGGCGCUACCACUUUUUAUGACGCCC
rnacentral:rRNA from 1 species